AGAGUUUGAUCCUGGCUCAGAAUGAACGCUGGCGGCGUGCCUAACACAUGCAAGUCGAACGAGAAAUCUCCUGCUUGCAGGAGAGAGUAAAGUGGCGCACGGGUGAGUAACGCGUGGGUAACCUGUCCCUGAAUCGGGGAUAACUUCGCGAAAGCGGAGCUAAUACCGGAUACAGUGGCCGGAACUGUGGUUCCGGCCAUGAAAGGUGACCUCUUCAUGAAAGUUGUCGUUCGGGGAGGGGCUCGCGUCCCAUUAGCUUGUUGGUAGGGUAACGGCCUACCAAGGCCACGAUGGGUAGCUGGUCUGAGAGGAUGAUCAGCCAUACUGGAACUGAAACACGGUCCAGACUCCUACGGGAGGCAGCAGUGAGGAAUUUUGCGCAAUGGGGGAAACCCUGACGCAGCAACGCCGCGUGAGUGAAGAAGGCUUUCGGGUCGUAAAGCUCUGUCAAGUGGGAAAAAAGUCCGUCAGUCAACAGGUGGCGGGCAUGAUGGUACCACUAGAGGAAGCACCGGCUAACUCCGUGCCAGCAGCCGCGGUAAUACGGAGGGUGCUAGCGUUGUUCGGAAUUACUGGGCGUAAAGCGCGCGUANGCNGUUUGGGCAGUCAGAUGUGAAAGCCCUGGGCUCAACUCANGAAGUGCAUUUGAAACUGCCUUACUGGAGUAUGGGAGAGGAGAGUGGAAUUCCCAGUGUAGAGGUGAAAUUCGUAGAUAUUGGGAGGGACACCCGUGGCGAAAGCGACUCUCUGGGACCAUACUGACGCUUAAGCGCGAAAGCCUGGGGGACCAACAAGGAUUAGAUACCCUGGUAGUCACGCUGUAAACGAUGAGAACUAAGUGUACCGGGAAUGACCCCUGCUGUGGCGGAGCUAACGCAUUAGUUCUCCGCCUGGGGAGUACGGCCGCAAGGUAAAACUCAAAGGAAUGACGGGGGGCCCGCCACAGCCGGUGGAGCAUGUGGUUUAAUUCGACGCAACGCGAAGAACUUUACCUGGGCUUGACAUCCUUGGACAGCCCCGGAAACGGGCCCUUCCCUGCUUGCAGGGACAGAGUGACAGGUGCUGCAUGGCUGUCGUCAGCUCGUGUCGUGAGAUGUUGGGUUAAGUCCCGCAACGAGCGCAACCCCUAUCUUUAGUUGCCAGUAUUCAGUUAGGCACUCUAGAGAGACCGCCUCGGUUAACGAGGAGGAAGGUGGGGAUGACGUCAAGUCCUCAUGGCCUUUAUGCCCAGGGCUACACACGUGCUACAAUGGGCGGUACAAAGGGUUGCUACUCCGCGAGGAGGAGCCAAUCUCAAAAAACCGUUCUCAGUUCGGAUCGGAGUCUGCAACUCGACUCCGUGAAGUUGGAAUCGCUAGUAAUCGUGGAUCAGCAUGCCACGGUGAAUACGUUCCCGGGCCUUGUACACACCGCCCGUCACACCACGAAAGUCGGUUGUACCAGAAGUUGCUGGGCUAACCCGCUUUGGCGGGAGGCAGGUACCUAAGGUACGGCUGGUAAUUGGGGUGAAGUCGUAACAAGGUAACC
rnacentral:rRNA from 1 species